rnacentral:snoRNA from 1 species
GGUGUGGGUGAUGAAAACUUGACCUUAGGUGGAUCUUUUUUUGUGCCGUUUUGGUACAAAUCUUUAGGCUCACCAAUGGUAGGACACGUCAUAGUUACACUGACGCACU